UAUGGCCACAUCAUGCUGAAACACCGGUUCCUGUAUGAUCACCAAAGUUAAGCAAUGUUGAGCCUGGUCAGUACCUAGAUGGGUGACUGCUUGGAAAUACCUGUGGCUGUAAG